UAGGGAAUAUUGGGCAAUGGGCGCAAGCCUGACCCAGCCAUGCCGCGUGGAGGAUGAAGGCCUUCGGGUCGUAAACUCCUUUUCUGAGGGAAGAAUAGCCUGUGCAGGAAAUGGUAUGGGUAUAACGGUACCUCAGGAAUAAGCAACGGCCAACUCCGUGCCAGCAGCCGCGGUAAUACGGAGGUUGCAAGCGUUGUUCGGAAUUACUGGGCGUAAAGGGAGCGCAGGCGGCCAAGUCAGUCUGAAGUGAAAUCCCGGGGCUGAACGUCGGAAGUGCAUUGGGGACGGCGUGGCUAGAGUAGGUGAGAGGUGGGCUGAAUGCCGGGUGUAGCGGUGAAAGGCGUAGAUAUAUGGAGGAACACCCGUGGCGAGAGCGGCUCACGGGCGCGUAACUGACGCUGAGGCUCGAAAGCGUGGGGAG
rnacentral:rRNA from 1 species